AAGAACGCUGGCGGCAGGCCUAAGACAUGCAAGUCGUACGCGAACGACCUUUCGGGGUUAAGUAGAGUGGCGAACGGGUUAGUAACGCGUGGGAACAUACACAGCACAGGGGGAUAACCAUUGGAAACGAUGGCUAAUACCGCAUACGCCCUAUUGGGGAAAGAUUUAUCGGUGUUGGAUUGGCCCGCGUUAGAUUAGCUAGUUGGUGGGGUAAUGGCUCACCAAGGCGACGAUUUAUAGCUGGUUUGAGAGGAUGAUCAGCAACAAUGGAACUGAGACACGGUCCAGACUCCUACGGGAGGCAGCAGUCGGGAAUAUUGUGCAAUGGGGGCAACCCUGACACAGCCAUGCCGCGUGAGUGAAGAAGGCCUUAGGGUUGUAAAGCUCUUUCAGAUGUGAGGAUGAUGACGAUAGCAUCAGAAGAAGCUCCGGCUAACUUCGUGCCAGCAGCCGCGGUAAUACGAAGGGAGC
rnacentral:rRNA from 1 species